rnacentral:rRNA from 1 species
UACGAACUGCGCGAACGUUAUUCGGAAUCACUGGGCUUACAGGGUGCGUAGGCGGCGGAGAAAGUAGGGUGUGAAAUGCCUUGGCUCAACCAAGGCACAGCGCUCUAAACUACUUCGCUCGAGUGAGUCAGGGGUGCACGGAACUUCCGGUGGAGCGGUGAAAUGUGUUGAUAUCGGAAGGAACACCGGUGGCGAAAGCGGCGCGCUGGACCUCUUCUGACGCUGAGGCGCGAAAGCUAGGGGAGCAAACCGG